CACACAAAGUGGUCUCCUCUUAACAUUUAUUCCUCAAGAGUGGGGAUUUUAUUUAAUGCAGAAUUUGCAAACUGAAAGGAUUCAUCUUUCAUAUGGUUUCUUCCUCUGAGGGUUUUUAAAAAGGAAUAUAUUUGUUUCAUAGCUUUCUGAAUGUAUAUUUGCCCUAAGUGCUCACUCCCUCACUCCUUCUCCCCAGCUUGUUUACUGAGGGAAUAAAAACUUGACCUUGACUUUAAGCUCUCUGGUUUUCCAGACUGUACAGUCAGCAGAGAGCAAGGGGAAAAAUCAAUGUGAACCACAUUAGACAAGGCGAAGGGUAAUGCGUAAGUGCUGGGAACUCGUCCUGAAAAUGGAAACGACUGAGGUAAUUCAUAAAGGAAAGCACAUCCUACUGAUACAUCCAUCUCCUGUGGCUAAAACCCCACUUCUCCUUCCUUCCCUCUGCCUUUCCCCUAUUUUCAACACAGCCUUGGGGCCAUCAGAAGAUGGGAACACCCCACGUGCAACAUGGACCUAGUGAUGGAGACCCUGACACGAGUUCUGGCCAUGUCCCCAGCCACCAGCUCUGUCCUCGUGCUGACUCUGGGUGUCACAGAGCUCCUGUUAACAUCUCCAAUAAAACAACACAUCACAAGAAUCAACAAGACAGACAGGCUUCUGGAGAAAGGAGGAGGUGGUGCCAGUCAGCAAGCAGCCACACAGUUAUGGAACCAGCAGCCCACCCACACCUGAGACUUGUAGGACUGUUCGGGGUUAGCUCCCAGCCACUGCAAAUGCUGGUCCUGAGCAGGGAACAGCUCUAUGCAAAGACCCUGUGCUGCCGGUGCACCUGCAGGUGCAAAGAACCAACUUGCAGCAGGAAUGGCCAUUCAUCACAUAAAUUAGUCCUGCAUACGUACAUCCUCAUUUGCAAAUAAUCCAUGUCUCGUCAGAUAAUUCCCUCCCUAUGCAAAGGCAAGUUAAGGAGAAGCAAACUGAAGUGAGCGUCAGGCUGAAGUCUUGUAGCAGGACAUGUGGUUGUGAAGAAUGCAGAGCAGGGUAACGUGAGAAGCCAGCUGGUAACGUUUCGUCACUUUUUCCAGGGUGGAAGAAUUUAUAGACCCUCUCUUCAACACAAAUCAUCUCUAUUAGCUUCUCCUGCUUUUAAAAUUGGGUUCUGCUAGCCUUUAUUUAUCAUGCUUUCUUGGGACCACACAAAUUAAACAAAAUAUGCGUG
rnacentral:lncRNA from 1 species